ACUCCUGCGGGAGGCAGCAGUGGGGAAUAUUGCACACUGGGCGCAAGCCUGAUGCAGCCAUGCCGCGUGUAUGAAGAAGGCCUUCGGGUUGUAAAGUACUUUCAGCGGGGAGGAAGGCAAUACGGUUAAUAACCGUGUUGAUUGACGUUACCCGCAGAAGAAGCACCGGCUAACUCCGUGCCAGCAGCCGCGGUAAUACGGAGGGUGCAAGCGUUAAUCGGAAUUACUGGGCGUAAAGCGCACGCAGGCGGUCUGUCAAGUCGGAUGUGAAAUCCCCGGGCUCAACCUGGGAACUGCAUUCGAAACUGGCAGGCUUGAGUCUUGUAGAGGGGGGUAGAAUUCCAGGUGUAGCGGUGAAAUGCGUAGAGAUCUGGAGGAAUACCGGUGGCGAAGGCGGCCCCCUGGACAAAGACUGACGCUCAGGUGCGAAAGCGUGGGGAGCAAACAGGAUUAGAAACCCCUGUAGUCCCAUGA
rnacentral:rRNA from 1 species